rnacentral:lncRNA from 1 species
ACCGUUUCUUACCACCACGUAGUUCACUUUUCCGCACAUUUUACGUAAAUGCCCUUUUACGUGACAUUUCUUACACACAUAAUUAGCGAAUCUGCAGAUUUUAGAGAAACCGCACAAACCACACUUUACUUUCCCGACACUAACACUUUUCUGAGCAAUUUUGUAAAGCUGCUCCGUCGCCGAAGAUAUAGACGCCGCGGCAGCGUCAGGGGCCGCGCCAGUGGCACCCGCGCCCGCGCUUGCGGCGGCGGUGGCGCAGCCUCGGCUCAAAUUCUCCGCCAACUCCACCACCUCAGCCUGUGUAAGGUCCGCCAGGUCCUUGGUAUAUAUUUUUUCUUUUUCGCGACCGGGCAGCAUGCCCAUUAUAAAUUUGUCGCGAACUGCCUCUUCUACGCUAUGGAACUUGCACUUCUCAGUGAGCCCGCGCAAUUUCGCACUUUACAACACGUGGCUUACCCUCUUUACGCGCAGAUAUAGUCGCCAAUGUUAGGUAUGCGGACUGGGACGCGGAUUUAAUAGGACACAAGUGAAACGGCCGGUGGUCGGUAGCGCGGUUAUUUGAGUGAGAAUAAUAAGGAACUCUAGAGGUCAAGAAGAUUGGACCUCAACCAAGAGUAGUGUGGUAUGCAGCAUACAUUUUGAUCAAAAUGAUUUAUAUACCACGUCAAAAGGACGCCGUCGAGUAGUUACCUAUGCAGUUCCAAAGUUGCUAUUAUUUGAACCGCCCAUACAAGAAGAGCAACCUAAUGUUGAACCCGAAACUACAAGUAGUUUUCAAGCAUAUGUAUAUGGUAAACAAUCGUCAUAAGGAUCAGAUCAAGCACCACCGCCACCCACAAACCCUAGAAGUGCUUCUGAACAGCCUACAGGGUCAUGUUCACCUUUAC